UGGGGAAUAUUGCACAAUGGGCGCAAGCCUGAUGCAGCCAUGCCGCGUGUAUGAAGAAGGCCUUCGGGUUGUAAAGUACUUUCAGCGGGGAGGAAGGUGUUGUGGUUAAUAACCACAGCAAUUGACGUUACCCGCAGAAGAAGCACCGGCUAACUCCGUGCCAGCAGCCGCGGUAAUACGGAGGGUGCAAGCGUUAAUCGGAAUUACUGGGCGUAAAGCGCACGCAGGCGGUCUGUCAAGUCGGAUGUGAAAUCCCCGGGCCCAACCUGGGAACUGCAUCCGAAACUGGCAGGCUUGAGUCUUGUAGAGGGGGGUAGAAUUCCAGGUGUAGCGGUGAAAUGCGUAGAGAUCUGGAGGAAUACCGGUGGCGAAGGCGGCCCCCUGGACAAAGACUGACGCUCAGGUGCGAAAGCGUGGGGAGCAAACA
rnacentral:rRNA from 1 species